AACCUGGUUGAUCCUGCCAGUAAUCAUAUGCUUGUCUCUAAGCUUAAGCCAUGCAUGUCUAAGUUCAAACGUUUAAUGUGAGACUGCGAAAGGCUCAGUAAAUCAGCUAUAAUCUAUUUGAUUGUUAACUCCCAGUGGAUAACCGUGGGAAAUCUAGAGCUAAUACAUGCAACUAAACUGUACCCUGUCAAAGGGGUGCAGUAGCAUUUAUUGGAAAUACCAACUUUGGGCGAGUGGGUUUACCUGCUCGUCUAGAUAGGUGAAUCUGGAUAACUGGCUGAUCGUAUGGCCUUGUGCUGACGACGUUUCAAUUGAAUUUCUGCCCUAUCAACUUGUUGGUAAGGUAGUGGCUUACCAAGGUUGUAACGGGUAACGGGGAAUCAGGGUUCGAUUCCGGAGAGGGAGCCUGAGAAAUGGCUACCACAUCCAAGGGAGGCAGCAGGCGCGCAAAUUACCCAAUCCACAAUGUGGGAGGUGGUGACGAGAAAUAUUAGGUCGUUUUCCCUCAGGGAAUGCGAUACUGAAAUGAGCACAAUUUAGAACAUUUGUCGAGUAACAACUGAAGGGCAAGUCUGGUGCCAGCAGCCGCGUAAUUCCAGCUUCAGUAGUGUAUAUUAAUGCUGCUGCGGUUAAAACGCUCGUAGUUGAAUGACGAAGCACGGGACGAUACUUUAACGUAUGCUACAUCAAACCGUGUUGCAGUAUUGCGAANNAGACCACGUCUGUCUAGCGAUGGUGCAGCAUGGCGUGGCGUAUGUUAAUUAACAGUCGUUCCGGGCUACUAGAUUGUGAGAAUGGUGAAUGGUCUUCACUGACUGCUCAUCGUGUCUCGCAGAGUGUGCCUUGAAUAAACCAGAGUGCUCAAAGCAGGCAUGUUGCUUGAAUGUUAAUAGCAUGGAACGAACAAAUGUGAUUUCGUGUACUGACAAGUAAUGCACAAUGAUUUACAUUGUUGUGCACUAACUGGCAGUACAUAGCACCAACCACCAAGGCGGAUGUUGGUUUCCGUUUUGGGGUGAUGAUUAAAAGGGGCGGUUGGGGGCAUUGGUAUUUGGCCGCGAGAGGUGAAAUUCUUGGACCGGCCAAGGACUAACAAAUGCGAAGGCAUCUGCCAAGACCGUUCCCGUUGAUCAAGAGCGAUAGUGAGAGGUUCGAAGACGAUCAGAUACCGUCCUAGUUCUCACUGUAAACUAUGCCAACCCGGGAUCAGUUUUGAGCUAAGUAUAAACGCUCGUGGUUGGUCCCCUGGGAAACCUUAAGUUUUUAGGUUCCGGGGGGAGUAUGGUUGCAAGGCUGAAACUUAAAGGAAUUGACGGAAGGGCACCACCAGGAGUGGAGCCUGCGGCUUAAUUUGACUCAACACGGGAAAACUCACCCGGUCCGGACAUCGAUAGGAUCGACAGACUGAUAGAUCUUUCGUGAUACGGUGUAUGGUGGUGCAUGGCCGUUCUUAGUUCGUGAAGUGAUUUGUCAGGUUUAUUCCGGUAACGAACGAGACCAUAUUCUCCAUUUACGGAGUCGAUGCAGCAUCAGCCUGUCAGGGGCAACUCUGCCAGGCGAAGUGCGACGAUUAAAUUGGUGAUUCCCCGGUACCUGUAUCGAGGGAUUGCUUUUUUUCCAUUGACUAAGCAUUGUGUAGCCUUAAAAACUGCAUAGUGCGCUAUGGAGAGACAACCGGGUAUAUCCAAAGCCGGAGGACGUAUGGCAAUAACAGGUCUGUGAUGCCCUUAGAUGUUCGGGGCCGCACGCGCGCUACAAUGGUAACAACAGAAAGAGUCUGGUUCGAAAGAAUCAGGUAAUCAUAAAUUGUUACCGUAAUGGGGACUGUGCUUUGUAAUUAUCGCACACGAAAGAGGAAUUCCUAGUAAGUGCUCGGAAUCAACGAGUGCUGAUUGCGUCCCGCCCUUUGUACACACCGCCCGUCGCUACUACCGAGUGAAUGGUGUCAUGAUGCCUUGUGACCGGACGUCGUAGACGGUGCAAGCCGUCGAACGAUGCUGGAAUCAAUGUAAAAUGGCGCAAUUUCGAGGAAGUAAAAGUCGUAACAAGGUUUCCGUAGGUGAACCUGCAGAAGGAUCAAGC
rfam:M.lieberkuehni (mx18) gene for 16S-like ribosomal RNA